UGGGGAAUAUUGGACAAUGGGCGGAAGCCUGAUCCAGCAACGCCGCGUGAGGGAUGACGGCCUUCGGGUUGUAAACCUCUUUCAUCACCGACGAAGGCGCAUCUUUUUGGGUGUGUUGACGGUAGGUGGAGAAGAAGCACCGGCCAACUACGUGCCAGCAGCCGCGGUAAUACGUAGGGUGCGAGCGUUGUCCGGAAUUAUUGGGCGUAAAGGGCUCGUAGGCGGUUUGUCGCGUCGGGAGUGAAAACCAAGUGCUUAACACUUGGCUUGCUUUCGAUACGGGCAGACUGGAGGUAUGCAGGGGAGAACGGAAUUCCUGGUGUAGCGGUGAAAUGCGCAGAUAUCAGGAGGAACACCGGUGGCGAAGGCGGUUCUCUGGGCAUUACCUGACGCUGAGGAGCGAAAGUGUGGGGAGCGAACAGG
rnacentral:rRNA from 1 species